UACGGGGGGGGGCGAGCGUUGUUCGGAAUCACUGGGCGUAAAGGGCGCGUAGGCGGCCCGCACAAGUCUGCGGUGAAAACCCCCGGCUUAACCGGGGGCCGGCCGUGGAAACUGUCGGGCUGGAGGCUGGGAGAGGGCAGCGGAAUUCCCGGUGUAGCGGUGAAAUGCGUAGAGAUCGGGAGGAACACCGGCGGCGAAGGCGGCUGCCUGGACCAGUCCUGACCGCUGAGGCGCGAAAGCUAGGGGAGCAAACAGG
rnacentral:rRNA from 1 species